CCCUGGGUAGUCUAAUGGUAGGACGCCACCAAUACUCGGGUUCGAUUCCCGUCGUACCCGUUUGGGUGUGUUGCUUAGUGGCUAAAGCCUGGUGGAGAUCGGAGUUCAAUCCUUCGUCCGGGGG